GAUGAACGCUGGCGGCGUGCCUAAUACAUGCAAGUCGAGCGAACAGACGAGGAGCUUGCUCCUCUGACGUUAGCGGCGGACGGGUGAGUAACACGUGGAUAACCUACCUAUAAGACUGGGAUAACUUCGGGAAACCGGAGCUAAUACCGGAUAAUAUAUUGAACCGCAUGGUUCAAUAGUUAAAGACGGUUUUGCUGUCACUUAUAGAUGGAUCCGCGCCGCAUUAGCUAGUUGGUAAGGUAACGGCUUACCAAGGCGACGAUGCGUAGCCGACCUGAGAGGGUGAUCGGCCACACUGGAACUACGACAAGGUCCAGACUCCUACGGGAGGCAGCAGUAGGGAAUCUUCCGCAAUGGGCGAAAGCCUGACGGAGCAACGCCGCGUGAGUGAUGAAGGUCUUCGGAUCGUAAAACUCUGUUAUUAGGGAAGAACAAAUGUGUAAGUAACUAUGCACGUCUUGACGGUACCUAAUCAGAAAGCCACGGCUAACUACGUG
rnacentral:rRNA from 1 species